rnacentral:rRNA from 1 species
UACGGAGGGGGCUAGCGUUGUUCGGAAUUACUGGGCGUAAAGCGCACGUAGGCGGCUUUGCAAGUCAGAGGUGAAAGCCCGGGGCUCAACCCCGGAAUUGCCUUUGAGACUGCAUCGCUAGAAUUGUGGAGAGGUAAGUGGAAUUCCGAGUGUAGAGGUGAAAUUCGUAGAUAUUGGGAAGAACACCGGUGGCGAAGGCGGCUCUCUGGACCGUAACUGACGCUGAGGCGCGAAAGCGUGGGGAGCAAACAGG